CUUUCCCCCAAAGUACACACAUAAGAGCACCAGAGAUAGACAUUUUGAUGUCAACUCACAUCUGUAUGUUCUAUAGUAUAGACAUAUAGUAUACACAAAUCCAGUAAUCCUUUGUGCUUCUGAAACAGUUUCCUUCUCAUUUCCCAGCGGUAGAACAAAGAAUCUUGAUGGAUGUCAGGGACCCAUCACAAUGGACCCUGCAGAUCACACUUGUGCAGUUCUCUGGAUACCACACACAGGCCAUCACACUGGGAGCACAUGCAGCCAUUUCUUUCUUUUAAAAAGCCAGUAUUAUUUUAUUAUUUCAGUCUUACAUAACUGCGUGGUGAAAAUGAGAACACAGAUCUGGGCCACAAACCAUUCCAACAAUUCUCAUUGCAAAAGAAACAUAAACUUCAGCAUCCAUCAAACAAUUCUCCCUGCAAAUGAAUAGUGAACAUACAAACCCACCAUCUCAGCUUGAGUUCCUUUGCAAAAGAAAGCCCUCUGGAGUUAUUAAAAAUAAUAAUAAAGUAAUCCAGGCUCCCAACAGACAGCAUUUGAACAUCAUGUCAAGUUCCUAUAAAGUAGCGCAGCAACACCUCCUUUUACUAAUUUCCCUGAAUCCCCAGUGGUUUCUCAGUGCCAUAAAUUAAACUUACAUUCCUUUCUGUAAGCCUAGCAGAAAUUGCGGACCCAGUGUCCCCUGUGCGCAGCUCUUUGAGGUCGGAUGCUUUGGGUUGUCUGGUUGUUACUCAUGCCUCCCACUGUGAGGCCCAAUAUUUCCCUGCCCCAUCAUUUUCCUUUCACCCCCCAGCGUGUUACAAAUCACUGUUCCUCUGCAGGGUGUCCUGGAGAACAGCUUUGCCGGGACAAUGCCGGGUCAGUGACAGCAUCAGGCGCGUGUUGAGUGAUCUCAUAGGGAGCAGUGUUCUGCUGCAGGCACCAGUCUUCUGCCUUUCGUUUCAACUGGAUCUUUAUUCUGAUGCCUUGGCAAAGCCCAGUGAUGUACCCAGUGUAGAUGUGGCCAUCUGUGUCCAGCUUCUCUUUGUAGGCAUCACACUGCUUGGCUUGGCUCAGCUAACAGGACCCCACCACGUGGCUGUUCAACAUGUCCAUGGCAAGUCUCCAUUGCUGCUGAACCAGAUCCAGAGAAAGCAGAGAAGCGUGGAUAAAAUGUGGGGGUACACGUCUCUCCUCACCUCCAACAGACACUAACUGCUCUGUGUAUCAGCAGCUUAGUCCUGGAAGCACACGGGUUCUUAGGUGGCUUUUGGGGACCAUAAAGCAGCUUCUUGGUGGGAAGGUCAUUCCUGUGAUCAGAUAUAGAUCAGUCAGCCUUAUAGUUGCCCUAAUUAAGAACUUCAGUUUUGAUUAAGGUACAGCCACAGCCACUGUACUGUUUGUACUCUUUAUUUCAGUGACAGGAAGAGAACAGUUGAGAUCCUCUUAGGAGAGCAGCACACUCUGAGGUUAGGUCUAGGCACCCAUUUUGUUUGUCAGCUAUGGCAGUCAGAGCAAGAGACUGGCAGUGUUUCCCACUGAGUUCUGCUCCCUUGUCUCUACCAAUGUCUUCUGCAGAAGUUUCACCUUUUUAUUCUUCACUUUUUCCACAUUUAUCUUCAUAAACAUAAAUAAAUCUUUCCCUCCUUGUGCA
rnacentral:lncRNA from 1 species